rnacentral:sRNA from 1 species
UCGAGUGAGGAGCAUCCAAAAUUUAAGUUUUUAUUUCCGGAAAACAAAAAUUCAGUAAUUCAGUGUACAAAAAAAAAAAUUGUUUCCUAGUUUAAAAUUUGUUUGUUACUUUUUGGACACACGAACUCAAAGAAUGACUCUUGGGAAGGGAAGGCGGCUCUUCAAAUAAAGAAAGGCGAUCGUGAUGGUACCGGGAUAUCCAAACAAAUACUCCCCCAGUUCGGAUUACCAGUGGCUUGCAUCAAUAUUAAUAAUCACUAUAUUAAGCACUAUAUUAAGCACAGAGAAAGGGAAGGAACGAAAUGGAAGGAUGGUGACCCUUCAGACGAGGGAAGGACAUCGUGAUGGUACCUGGAAUAUCCGAUCAGUUAUUCCCUCAGUUCGGAUAUACAGUGGCUCGCAUCAAUAUUAAUAAUCACUAUAUUAAGCACUAUAUUAAGCACAGAGAAAGAGAAGGAAGGAAAUGGAAGGAUGGUGACCCUUCAGACGAGGGAAGGACAUCGUGAUGGUGCCUGGAAUAUCCGAUCAGUUAUUCCCCCAGUUCGGAUUCCCAGUGGCUUGCAUCAAUACCAAAUAAACAUUAUGCAACGAGAUCAAGACCGAAUAAAUCACUAUAUUAAGCACUAUAUUAAGCACAGAGAAAGGGAAGGAAGGAAAUGGAAGGAUGGUGAUCCUUCAGACGAAGGAAGGACAUCGUGAUGGUACCUGGAAUAUCCGAUCAGUUAUUCCCUCAGUUCGGAUAUACAGUGGCUUCCAUCAAUGCCAAAUAAACAUUAUGCAACGAGAUCAAGACCGAAUAAAUCACUAUAUUAAGCACUAUAUUAAGCACAGAGAAAGGGAAGGAAGGAAAUGGAAGGAUGGUGAUCCUUCAGACGAAGGAAGGACAUCGUGAUGGUACCUGGAAUAUCCGAUCAGUUAUUCCCUCAGUUCGGAUAUACAGUGGCUCGCAUCAAUACCAAAUAAACAUUAUGCAACGAGAUCAAGACCGAAUAAAUCACUAUAUUAAGCACUAUAUUAAGCACAGAGAAAGGGAAGGAAGGAAAUGGAAGGAUGGUGAUCCUUCAGACGAAGGAAGGACAUCGUGAUGGUACCUGGAAUAUCCGAUCAGUUAUUCCCUCAGUUCGGAUAUAUAGUGGCUUCCAUCAAUACCACAUAAACAUUAUGCAACGAGAUCAAGACCGAAUAAUUCACUAUAUUAAGCACUAUAUUAAGCACAGAGAAAGGUAAGGAAGGAAAUGGAAGGAUGGUGAUCCUUCAGACGAAGGAAGGACAUCGUGAUGGUACCUGGAAUAUCCGAUCAGUUAUUCCCUCAGUUCGGAUAUACAGUGGCUUCCAUCAAUACCAAAUAAACAUUAUGCAACGAGAUCAAGACCGAAUAAAUCACUAUAUUAAGCACUAUAUUAAGCACAGAGAAAGGGAAGGAAGGAAAUGGAAGGAUGGUGAUCCUUCUGACGAGAGAAGGACAUCGUGAUGGUACCUGGAAUAUCCGAUCAGUUAUUCCCUCAGUUCGGAUAUACAGUGGCUCGCAUCAAUACCAAAUAAACAUUAUGCAACGAGAUCAAGAACGAAUAAAUCACUAUAUUAAGCACUAUAUUAAGCACAGAGAAAGGGAAGGAAGGAAAUGGAAGGAUGGUGAUCCUUCAGACGAGGGAAGGACAUCGUGAUGGUACCUGGAAUAUCCGAUCAGUUAUUCCCUCAGUUCGGAUAUACAGUGGCUUCCAUCAAUACCAAAUAAACAUUAUGCAACGAGAUCAAGACCGAAUAAAUCACUAUAUUAAGCACUAUAUUAAGCACAGAGAAAGGGAAGGAAGGAAAUGGAAGGAUGGUGAUCCUUCAGACGAAGGAAGGACAUCGUGAUGGUACCUGGAAUAUCCGAUCAGUUAUUCCCUCAGUUCGCAUAUACAGUGGCUUCCAUCAAUACCAAAUAAACAUUAUGCAACGAGAUCAAGACCGAAUAAAUCACUAUAUUAAGCACUAUAUUAAGCACAGAGAAAGGGAAGGAAGGAAAUGGAAGGAUGGUGAUCCUUCAGACGAAGGAAGGACAUCGUGAUGGUACCUGGAAUAUCCGAUCAGUUAUUCCCUCAGUUCGGAUAUACAGUGGCUCGCAUCAAUACCAAAUAAACAUUAUGCAACGAGAUCAAGACCGAAUAAAUCACUAUAUUAAGCACUAUAUUAAGCACUAUAUUAAGCACUAUAUUAAGCACUAUAUUAAGCACAGAGAAAGGGAAGGAAGGAAAUGGAAGGAUGGUGAUCCUUCAGACGAGGGAAGGACAUCGUGAUGGUACCUGGAAUAUCCGAUCAGUUAUUCCCUCAGUUCGGAUAUACAGUGGCUCGCAUCAAUACCAAAUAAACAUUAUGCAACGAAAUCAAGACCGAAUAAAUCACUAUAUUAAGCACUAUAUUAAGCACUAUAUUAAGCACUAUAUUAAGCACAGAGAAAGGGAAGGAAGGAAAUGGAAGGAUGGUGAUCCUUCAGACGAAGGAAGGACAUCGUGAUGGUACCUGGAAUAUCCGAUCAGUUAUUCCCUCAGUUCGCAUAUACAGUGGCUUCCAUCAAUACCAAAUAAACAUUAUGCAACGAGAUCAAGACCGAAUAAAUCACUAUAUUAAGCACUAUAUUAAGCACAGAGAAAGGGAAGGAAGGAAAUGGAAGGAUGGUGAUCCUUCAGACGAAGGAAGGACAUCGUGAUGGUACCUGGAAUAUCCGAUCAGUUAUUCCCUCAGUUCGGAUAUACAGUGGCUUCCAUCAAUACCAAAUAAACAUUAUGCAACGAGAUCAAGACCGAAUAAAUCACUAUAUUAAGCACUAUAUUAAGCACAGAGAAAGGGAAGGAAGGAAAUGGAAGGAUGGUGAUCCUUCAGACGAAGGAAGGACAUCGUGAUGGUACCUGGAAUAUCCGAUCAGUUAUUCCCUCAGUUCGGAUAUACAGUGGCUUCCAUCAAUACCAAAUAAACAUUAUGCAACGAGAUCAAGACCGAAUAAAUCACUAUAUUAAGCACUAUAUUAAGCACAGAGAAAGGGAAGGAAGGAAAUGGAAGGAUGGUGAUCCUUCAGACGAAGGAAGGACAUCGUGAUGGUACCUGGAAUAUCCGAUCAGUUAUUCCCUCAGUUCGGAUAUACAGUGGCUCGCAUCAAUACCAAAUAAACAUUAUGCAACGAGAUCAAGACCGAAUAAAUCACUAUAUUAAGCACUAUAUUAAGCACAGAGAAAGGGAAGGAAGGAAAUGGAAGGAUGGUGAUCCUUCAGACGAAGGAAGGACAUCGUGAUGGUACCUGGAAUAUCCGAUCAGUUAUUCCCUCAGUUCGGAUAUACAGUGGCUCGCAUCAAUAUUAAUAAUCACUAUAUUAAGCACUAUAUUAAGCACAGAGAAAGGGAAGGAAGGAAAUGGAAGGAUGGUGAUCCUUCAGACGAAGGAAGGACAACGUGAUGGUACCUGGAAUAUCCGAUCAGUUAUUCCCUCAGUUCGGAUAUACAGUGGGUCGCAUCAAUACCAAAUAAACAUUAUGCAACGA